rnacentral:rRNA from 1 species
AUUGAACGCUGGCGGAAUGCUUUACACAUGCAAGUCGAGCGGCAGCGCGGUCUUCGGACUGGCGGCGAGCGGCGAACGGGUGAGUAAUACAUCGGAACAUGCCCAGUCGUGGGGGAUAACACUUCGAAAGAAGUGCUAAUACCGCAUACGUCCUGAGGGAGAAAGCGGGGGAUCGCAAGACCUCGCGCGAUUGGAGUGGCCGAUGUCAGAUUAGCUAGUUGGUGGGGUAAAGGCCUACCAAGGCAACGAUCUGUAGCUGGUCUGAGAGGAUGAUCAGCCACACUGGGACUGAGACACGGCCCAGACUCCUACGGGAGGCAGCAGUGGGGAAUUUUGGACAAUGGGGGCAACCCUGAUCCAGCCAUUCCGCGUGAGUGAAGAAGGCCUUCGGGUUGUAAAGCUCUUUCGGCAGGAACGAAACGGCGAGCUCUAACAUAGCUCGCUAAUGACGGUACCUGAAGAAGAAGCACCGGCUAACUACGUGCCAGCCGCCGCGGUAAUAC